rnacentral:rRNA from 1 species
UACAGAGGUCUCAAGCGUUGUUCGGAUUCAUUGGGCGUAAAGGGUGCGUAGGCGGCGCGGUAAGUCGGGUGUGAAAUCUUGGAGCUUAACUCCGAAACUGCAUUCGAUACUGCCGUGCUUGAGGACUGGAGAGGAGACUGGAAUUUACGGUGUAGCGGUGAAAUGCUUAGAUAUCGUAAGGAAGACCAGUGGCGAAGGCGGGUCUCUGGACAGUUCCUGACGCUGAGGCACGAAGGUCAGGGGAGCAAACGGG